AUGCUCAACGUGGAGCCCUCAUUUGCAGAGGAGCUGCGGAGCAGCGGGGUUUCUCUGUCGGCUACUUACCUCGGAAGUGUUCCAGUAGUCGAGUCAAUUAACGUGAUGGUUUCCGAGAUGAGAGUUCAAGUUGUUUCAGAAUGUAUACAACACGUUGCAGCUACUGUUGGCGUGACUGCGGCUCGAGAAAUCAAUCCAGUUGUUAGUAGGGUCGAUCAAAAAUCGCGCUAAAUGAUGUCAGCCGCUAUUCAUAGAAAAGUUAUUAUCACUAAUUUCGACUAAAAUUAUUGCAGCCGACACUUCACGGGUCGAUGAAAAAGCCCAGGUAAACCAUCCUUAUUUUCAGGUAAUCGGUGAAGUGAAAAAAGAAAACUUCCCCGUAGACAUCAACAUUUCCUCGAAAAUGAUCAAAAUCAUAAAACAAAGUCGUCUAAUUCAACGUCAUCCCUUCUCAUUCUUCUCAUUCGGAGCCCAAGGCCAAAAGGGUACGGACACGGAGCUAAUGUUCGGCUACAUUGCAAAAAACAAGGAUGGAACGGAUCGUCGAUGCCACGUGGUGUUCAUCGAGGAUGUGCACAAGCUCAUCGACGUCCUUACCACUGCGAUCAAUGUGAACACUUUUGAUGCACAGGCGAAUGCUUCAACUUCUAACGAUGGAUUUACGGUGCCGGCGCCGCCGAUGAGACAUCGAAGUUCCCUGCAUCGACAGUCAUUUGUGUCGAAUUGCCGAGCACCUACUGUAACUGAGGAUGUUGUGGGGAAAGUUUGGUAUCAUGGAAAUUUAUCCAGAGAGGAUGCACAGGCUUUGUUGAAGACGGAAGGCGAUUUUUUGGUUCGACAAAGCGACCACACGCCCGGCAAGUACGUGCUGAGUGGCCGAACCGCUGAAAACGAGCACAAACAUCUCAUCCUACUGGACAAUCACAACAGAGUCCGAACCCGCGAUCGCACGUUCAGCAACAUCUCCGAGCUCAUCGACUAUCAUGUGAACAAUGGGAUGGCCGUAAGAUCAGAGGGUCGGGAUCGCGAGACGUCGUUGAAUCUGAUCCGACCUGUGCCGUGCCCCGGAAGUGAUGAUAUCGAAUAG
rnacentral:misc_RNA from 1 species